GGGACACGUGGUAUCCUGUCUGAAUAUGGGGGGACCAUCCUCCAAGGCUAAAUACUCCUGACUGACCGAUAGUGAACCAGUACCGUGAGGGAAAGGCGAAAAGAACCCCGGCGAGGGGAGUGAAAAAGAACCUGAAACCGUGUACGUACAAGCAGUGGGAGCCUCUUAAUGGGGUGACUGCGUACCUUUUGUAUAAUGGGUCAGCGACUUAUAUUCUGUAGCAAGGUUAACCGAAUAGGGGAGCCGAAGGGAAACCGAGUCUUAACUGGGCGUUAAGUUGCAGGGUAUAGACCCGAAACCCGGUGAUCUAGCCAUGGGCAGGUUGAAGGUUGGGUAACACUAACUGGAGGACCGAACCGACUAAUGUUGAAAAAUUAGCGGAUGACUUGUGGCUGGGGGUGAAAGGCCAAUCAAACCGGGAGAUAGCUGGUUCUCCCCGAAAGCUAUUUAGGUAGCGCCUCGUGAAUUCAUCUCCGGGGGUAGAGCACUGUUUCGGCAAGGGGGUCAUCCCGACUUACCAACCCGAUGCAAACUGCGAAUACCGGAGAAUGUUAUCACGGGAGACACACGGCGGGUGCUAACGUCCGUCGUGAAGAGGGAAACAACCCAGACCGCCAGCUAAGGUCCCAAAGUCAUGGUUAAGUGGGAAACGAUGUGGGAAGGCCCAGACAGCCAGGAUGUUGGCUUAGAAGCAGCCAUCAUUUAAAGAAAGCGUAAUAGCUCACUGGUCGAGUCGGCCUGCGCGGAAGAUGUAACGGGGCUAAACCAUGCACCGAAGCUGCGGCAGCGACACUAUGUGUUGUUGGGUAGGGGAGCGUUCUGUAAGCCUGUGAAGGUGUACUGUGAGGUAUGCUGGAGGUAUCAGAAGUGCGAAUGCUGACAUAAGUAACGAUAAAGCGGGUGAAAAGCCCGCUCGCCGGAAGACCAAGGGUUCCUGUCCAACGUUAAUCGGGGCAGGGUGAGUCGACCCCUAAGGCGAGGCCGAAAGGCGUAGUCGAUGGGAAACAGGUUAAUAUUCCUGUACUUGGUGUUACUGCGAAGGGGGGACGGAGAAGGCUAUGUUGGCCGGGCGACGGUUGUCCCGGUUUAAGCGUGUAGGCUGGUUUUCCAGGCAAAUCCGGAAAAUCAAGGCUGAGGCGUGAUGACGAGGCACUACGGUGCUGAAGCGACAAAUGCCCUGCUUCCAGGAAAAGCCUCUAAGCAUCAGGUAACAUCAAAUCGUACCCCAAACCGACACAGGUGGUCAGGUAGAGAAUACCAAGGCGCUUGAGAGAACUCGGGUGAAGGAACUAGGCAAAAUGGUGCCGUAACUUCGGGAGAAGGCACGCUGAUAUGUAGGUGAAGCGACUUGCUCGUGGAGCUGAAAUCAGUCGAAGAUACCAGCUGGCUGCAACUGUUUAUUAAAAACACAGCACUGUGCAAACACGAAAGUGGACGUAUACGGUGUGACGCCUGCCCGGUGCCGGAAGGUUAAUUGAUGGGGUUAGCGGUAACGCGAAGCUCUUGAUCGAAGCCCCGGUAAACGGCGGCCGUAACUAUAACGGUCCUAAGGUAGCGAAAUUCCUUGUCGGGUAAGUUCCGACCUGCACGAAUGGCGUAAUGAUGGCCAGGCUGUCUCCACCCGAGACUCAGUGAAAUUGAACUCGCUGUGAAGAUGCAGUGUACCCGCGGCAAGACGGAAAGACCCCGUGAACCUUUACUAUAGCUUGACACUGAACAUUGAGCCUUGAUGUGUAGGAUAGGUGGGAGGCUUUGAAGUGUGGACGCCAGUCUGCAUGGAGCCGACCUUGAAAUACCACCCUUUAAUGUUUGAUGUUCUAACGUGGGCCCCUUACCGGGGUUGCGGACAGUGUCUGGUGGGUAGUUUGACUGGGGCGGUCUCCUCCUAAAGAGUAACGGAGGAGCACGAAGGUUGGCUAAUCCUGGUCGGACAUCAGGAG
rnacentral:rRNA from 1 species